CUUAUCCAGAGCUGGAGGCUGGCACUCAGGCUUUUCUGCAGGAAUCUGAGAGAGGAGGAAGUUGGCUGCCAUGUUGUGAGGAUGCACAAGCAGCCCCAUACAGAGUCCCUCCUGGUGAGGAUCCAAAGCCACCUGCCAACAGCCCGUGAAGAACUAAAGCCUUCUGCCCACAACCAAUGCAACCAGUGCUAAUUUGUCAGCCUUGUGAGUGGGGCCCCUUGGAAACAGAUCCUCCAGCCCCAUGCAGAUGACUGCAGCCCAAGCUGACAUCUUGACUGCAAAUUCAUGAGAGACCCCAAGUCAAAUUCACC
rnacentral:lncRNA from 10 species